rnacentral:rRNA from 1 species
GAUGAACGCUGGCGGCGUGCCUAAUACAUGCAAGUCGAGCGAAUGGAUUAAGAGCUUGCUCUUAUGAAGUUAGCGGCGGACGGGUGAGUAACACGUGGGUAACCUGCCCAUAAGACUGGGAUAACUCCGGGAAACCGGGGCUAAUACCGGAUAACAUUUUGAACCGCAUGGUUCGAAAUUGAAAGGCGGCUUCGGCUGUCACUUAUGGAUGGACCCGCGUCGCAUUAGCUAGUUGGUGAGGUAACGGCUCACCAAGGCAACGAUGCGUAGCCGACCUGGGAGGGUGAUCGGCGACACUGGGACUGAGACACGGCCCAGACUCCUACGGGAGGUAGCAGUAGGGAAUCUUCCGCAAUGGACGAAAGUCUGACGGAGCAACGCCGCGUGAGUGAUGAAGGCUUUCGGGUCGUAAAACUCUGUUGUUAGGGAAGAACAAGUGCUAGUUGAAUAAGCUGGCACCUUGACGGUACCUAACCAGAAAGCCACGGCUAACUACGUGCCAGCCGCCGCGGUAA